rnacentral:lncRNA from 1 species
UGUUAAUCUGAAAAAAAUAAUGUUUGUAGAUGAUAUAUGUUUCAAAAGUGAUUCUAUGUUAGCACCAGAUGAACUUCAAUCAAAUUUAGAGAUUUUAGAUUUGUUUCCAGCCACCGCAUAUUCUUAUUUCCUUGAAUUUCUUUGUCAGUAUCAUCUUAAUAAUGCCAGACAAUGUCAGGAUGCAUUUCAAGGUUUACAACUGGUUAUAGAAGAACAUUAUUUAAUAACUAUGUUUAGAGCGAAGGAAUCCUACACUUUGUUGGAAAUUGCUUUACAGUU